CUGUCGUGGUGAAAGGACAACUGCAGCAGAUUGGGAGUGUGGAAACUCCAUAUUUCCCAGGGGAUGAUCUGCAGUGACCAAUGCUUCAAAUGAGGUGUCCCUAUGCGCUAUGUUUAGUAGUUUGUUGUAUGGAAUAAUUUAUAAAAUAAAAAGACAAUACAAAGAGAAAGAAGUCACCAGGUAAUCCAAUAUUAGCAGCCUGCUGGGUCUUCUAAGAAAGGACGAAGAGAAGAUAUUUUUUUUUUUCAUUGGAGAAUACUAGUGCAUUACAUCAGUUCAGCUUUAACUUUGAUGAACUUCUGCCAAACCCAAGGCAGGGUUCCAGUCUGUCCUGACACCUCAGUCACUGAGAGAAUUCCUCACAUAUCUUCUAUCAGACAUUUUUUUUUAUUUUAUUUUUUUAGAUUUUUCUUGGCUCAAUUUGAAAAACGAGUGUGUGUGGGCAGAAACUUCUUCUGAACCAGAAGCUUUGCUUUACAGCCAGACUCCUGCCCUGCCUAUCCAGCCAUGAGACAUCUGCCUGUUAAUAUGCCAGCACAGUGGGACAUCAUCUAUGCAUGACACAGACAUUCGUCUCCUUCCCACAAUAGAGAUGUAUAAACUGAGACAUACACAUGAAGUGACUCACUCUCAGAAUGAAUUGAUUGUAGAGAUGGGUCUAGAAACUAAAUGCUGGUCCUUCUAUUCUUUUGCCCAAAAUAUAAGGUCCCAAUCCAUCAUGGCAUCAGCUCAACAGCACCAAUGUUAUCUACCACGAAGAGAAAGAACCUUACUCAAGAGGCUAAGUAGCUCCCACAUAAUUAGGAGCACAGAAGAGGAGGAAAAAGAAAAAAUCAAAACACAGACUACCGAGUAGCUGACUAUCAUUAUUUGUGAUGACUUCAGUUGUCACCUCAGCUGCUGCUUAUCCUGCAGUAACAAUUUGGAUGACAGAAUCUCACCAAACCUCACAGGUAAAGAGGCCAGGAUCAACCUUGCAUAGCCACAGAGUGCUACUCUGGAGAUGUGAGUUAGAAGGGACAUCGACGCAUCGUACUGUUUGUUGUUCUGCCCCAGAGCUCCCUAGUUACCUUGAUCUAGCUGUGUGAUUUUAUAUUCUCAAGAGCACUUAGAUGCUGAACUGAUAAUUUAGACCAACAUUUAAAUAACAAAAAUUUAAAUUCUACUCAUGCAGCUUUGCAGAUACCUGAAUUGCUUGUGUGCCUAACCUUCCCUUAUGAAGUUUCUUAAAUGCUUGUAUCACUGUAACUAUAUUGAAAACAAGGAACAGCUUGCAUUUUAUUUCAUAUUUCAAACAAAAUAUUGAGAUUUAUCUUAAUAUUUACAAUCUAAAUAUUUACAAUAUUUUCUGACUGAAAAUACCCCUUCUCAACUACCAUGCUGCAAAUUUCAGUUUUUUUCUUCAUAAUCAGGAAGCAGAGGGGUCACAUGUUUCGCUCUUUGACUUUACUGUUCAAGAAGUCACCCACUUUAUAAUGUAUCCUGGUUCUAAGUCUUUCUCUGCCUGGGAAGAUGACAAUACAUAUCAUAGAAGAGGACCCUAAGCCUUAAAUUGAAGGAUCUUCUGGGAUGGAGCUUUUCAACUCCAUUACUGAAUCUAUUGCCAUGGGCAGGAGCUCUUCAAGCAUCAGUCAGGAUGGUGGUACUCAAGCCAUCUCUGAGAGGAAGGAACAUGGAGACACAGGAGUCAGCAUGGAAAUAUAGAUGUCAACACAGAUAUACGGAACUUAUCAUGGAAAGUCAUGGAUGGAAGACUGACUUCUUUCUCUCUUCUUUUCACCUUAAAAAUAGAGAAUUAAUUUUCCUUGUAGCUGCUAGGGUACCUGUUGAAAACUCUUGAAAAACAGUUGUGUUUUUCAACAGUUGUUGAAACAGUUGUGUUUGCAUUUUUUGUGUUGUGUUGAAAAGCUGUUCAACAGAGUGUUGAAAAACACCAGAGCUCCACCUAUCUUAGAGGAUCUAUGCUGAUUUACAACAGCUUAUAAGGAUCUAGUCCUUGAUGGGUAACACAGAAUAAUCCUUUUGGAAAAUUAAACAUAAAGCAUUCCUUCAGUUGCA